AGAAGGAUAUAUAGAACUCGAUAAAGAGUAUCUAAUGAGCAAAAGAAAACUUAUCUGAUAUUUCUAUACAAAAUACAUAAAACAUAUUUCGUAAAAUAGAUAAUGUAUAGUCAUGCUGUAUUUCACGUGUAUACAUUGAUAGUGGAUUAUAUAUAUGUAUAUUUUGGACAUUUUAUAGUGGGACUAUAUAUUAAAGCAGUGAUAUUACUUAAUGCGGUGCCCAUCCUAUAUAUGUAGAAAUAGAAAAUGCCAAGGUUCACAACUUGUAUCUCCUAAAAAAAUAUUUUUAAAAAUAAAAUAAAAUAAAUCUUCUUUUAACAAAAUAUAUAACAUAAACCAACUUUUCUAAUGUUACAAAAAAAAAACCAACUUUUCUAAAUAACCUACUAUAUGUGAUCGUGGGUGCAAGAUUAUUAUUCUCCUUAGACUUUGGAUCGGCUCUACUACAUUUUCAAAUAAAAUAAAUAUAACUACGAUAAAGAAGAAUCCAUUUAGGAAGUUAAGGGUUCAGGGUUCACUCCCAUGAGGAGGAAUAUGGGAUUUUACCGAAUUUUCGAAGAGUAAAGUGCUCUUGCUAGGCG
rnacentral:lncRNA from 1 species